GAUGAACGCUGGCGGCGUGCCUAAUACAUGCAAGUCGAGCGAACAGACGAGGAGCUUGCUCCUCUGACGUUAGCGGCGGACGGGUGAGUAACACGUGGAUAACCUACCUAUAAGACUGGGAUAACUUCGGGAAACCGGAGCUAAUACCGGAUAAUAUAUUGAACCGCAUGGUUCAAUAGUGAAAGACGGUUUUGCUGUCACUUAUAGAUGGAUCCGCGCCGCAUUAGCUAGUUGGUAAGGUAACGGCCUACCAAGGCAACGAUGCGUAGCCGACCUGAGAGGGUGAUCGGCCACACUGGAACUGAGACACGGUCCAGACUCCUACGGGAGGCAGCAGUAGGGAAUCUUCCGCAAUGGGCGAAAGCCUGACGGAGCAACGCCGCGUGAGUGAUGAAGGUCUUCGGAUCGUAAAACUCUGUUAUUAGGGAAGAACAAAUGUGUAAGUAACUAUGCACGUCUUGACGGAACCUAAUCAGAAAGCCACGGCGAACUACGG
rnacentral:rRNA from 1 species